rnacentral:rRNA from 1 species
AGCCUGAACGCUAGCGGCGUGGCUAAGACAUGCAAGUCGUACGGAACCCGCAAGGGUUCAGUGGCGAACGGGAGAGUAAUGAAUCGCUAAUGUGCCCCGGACUCUGGGAUAGCUUUCCGAAAGGAAAGGUAAUACCAGAUGAGACCACGAACAGGCAUCUGUUUGUGCUCAAAGGUCCGCCGGUCUGGGAGCAGGCGAUUUCGUAUCAGCUAGUUGGUAGGGUAACGGCCUACCAAGGCGACGACGCGUAGCCGGACUGAGAGGUUGGCCGGCCUCAUUGGGACUGAGACACUGCCCAGACUCCGUACGGGGGGCUGCAGUAACGAAUCUUCCGCAAUGACACGAAGUGUGACGGAGCGACGCCGCGUGUGGGACGAAGUUCUUCGGAAUGGUAAACCACGUGUACGAAGGGAAAGAAAGUUCUGAUCCUACCCCGAAGAGGAACGGGCGGCUAACGUCUGUGCCAGCAGCCGC